rnacentral:rRNA from 1 species
CCUACGGGCGGCAGCAGUGGGGGAUAUUGCACAAUGGGGGAAACCCUGAUGCAGCGACGCCGCGUGAGUGAAGAAGUAAUUCGUUAUGUAAAGCUCUAUCAGCAGGGAAGAAAAUGACGGUACCUGAGUAAGAAGCACCGGCUAAAUACGUGCCAGCAGCCGCGGUAAUACGUAGGGGGCAAGCGUUAUCCGGAUUUACUGGGUGUAAAGGGAGCGUAGACGGCAGUGCAAGUCUGGAGUGAAAGGCGGGGGCGAAACCCCCGGACUGUUCUGGAAAAUUUACGGCUGGAGUGCAGGAGAGGUAAGUGGAAUUCCUAGUGUAGCGGUGAAAUGCGUAGAUAUUAGGAGGAACACCAGUGGCGAAGGCGGCUUACUGGACUGUAACUGACGUUGAGGCUCGAAAGCGUGGGGAGCAAACAGGAUUAGAUACCCGUGUAGUC